GCAAAGCCCAAGGCCCGGUCUAUCGUCUGCCUGUGUUCUGCCACAGGCAGCGGCAGACUACGACCCGUGUAAGCCGGGUGCACCCCGCAAGGGGUGCGGCGCUCACAGCUUUAGCU
ncrna:unclassified sequences Twister-sister ribozyme sequence